rnacentral:rRNA from 1 species
UUUGCCUACGGGGGGCAGCAGUGAGGAAUAUUGGUCAAUGGGCGGGAGCCUGAACCAGCCAAGCCGCGUGAAGGAAGAAGGCCCUAUGGGUUGUAAACCUCUUUUGUCGGAGAACAAAACCCGGGACGUGUCCCGGACUGCGUGUAUCCGAAGAAAAAGCAUCGGCUAACUCCGUGCCAGCAGCCGCGGUAAUACGGAGGAUGCGAGCGUUAUCCGGAUUUAUUGGGUUUAAAGGGUGCGUAGGCGGAAGAUCAAGUCAGCGGUAAAAUUGA